CCGUGCGGUCCCUGCGGGAUGCAGGCAGCAGCGAUGCCGCGGCUGUACCUAGCGAUAAUGCACAUCGGCAGAGAGAAGCACCCGGCUUCCAGCAAGGUGUUGCCUCAGUGUGUGACUGCCAGUGACAAGCAGUUCAAAUACAGUUUUUUGGGUUUUUUUUUGAGGCAUCCUUGGCUGUCUGAUGGAGAACAAACACUGCUACAAACUCGCCCAAAAGAAACUGAGAGCGUGCCACACAUUUCUGCAGUGAAAAUCCCAAAUGGAAAGCUACAGACACUGCAGGGAUGGCAUGUCCCAGUCUCACAGCUUUUGGCACUCAGUCUCCAGAGGCCUGCAUGGGCACCCAGCACCUCGCAAGGUGGGCUCUUACCCACCCCCAGUCCCAGGAAGGUAAAGGACUGAACUUGGCCAGUUAGAGAAAAAUGAUGUGUGAGCCCUGUGGAAGAGGGAGGAGGAAGGCUGCUUGGAGAACAUAACCAUGCUGGGCAAAAGCUGUAAUUCAGGCACAACCCCCAUACUGCUCAGGGGAUGCCCUACAGCUGCUGGAGGUAUAAGCAGAAGAUUAAAAUCUUUUGGCCCUUGCUCCCACUGAAGUCAGUGAGCUGGUGCAGUGCAACUGAAGUUAUGACAUCUGCUUUUAUUUUAACCUUAAACUCUCUUCAAAAAGACUCUCUGAAAAGAUGUGCAAUUUUUCUUUUUUAUUUCCUUUUUUUUUUCCUUCCUUGCUGCCCCUGAAGAAACAUAGCACAGGUGUCUCAGUACCACUGUGAUUUUUUAGCAUGACUCUGACUUCUGAGUACACUAAUAUUUCCUUUCUUUUUAAUGUUCUCAAUUUUUUUCUUCAUAUAUUUAGUUUAAUAGCUAGAACAAUCUAUUUUUGCGAUUGGAAGAAUGCAAAAUUCAAUUUAUCUCACAGAACCUAAAAUGAAUUCAGGCAGAAAGGGGGUGGUGGAAGAUUUAGGUUCUGAC
rnacentral:lncRNA from 1 species